rnacentral:rRNA from 1 species
AGAAUGAACGCUGGCGGCGUGCCUAACACAUGCAAGUCGUACGAGAAAUCCCGAGCUUGCUUGGGAGAGUAAAGUGGCGCACGGGUGAGUAACGCGUGGGUAACCCACCUUCGAAUCUGGGAUAACUCCGCGAAAGCGGUGCUAAUACCGGAUAAGACCACAGCCGUUUCGGCGGCAGAGGUAAAAGCUGACCUCUCCAUGGAAGUUAGCGUUCGAGGACGGGCCCGCGUCCUAUCAGCUUGUUGGUGGGGUAAUGGCCUACCAAGGCAGCGACGGGUAGCUGGUCUGAGAGGAUGAUCAGCCACACUGGAACUGGAACACGGUCCAGACUCCUACGGGAGGCAGCAGUGAGGAAUUUUGCGCAAUGGGGGAAACCCUGACGCAGCAACGCCGCGUGGGUGAAGAAGGCUUUCGGGUCGUAAAGCCCUGUCAGGUGGGAAGAAACUCUUCAGUACUAAUAAUGCUGAAGCCUGACGGUACCACCAGAGGAAGCACCGGCCAACUCCGUGCCAGCAGCCGCGGUAAUACGGAGGGUGCAAGCGUUGUUCGGAAUUAUUGGGCGUAAAGAGCGUGUAGGCGGUUCGGUAAGUCAGAUGUGAAAGCCCUGGGCUCAACCCAGGAAGUGCAUUUGAAACUACCAGACUUGAGUACGGGAGAGGAGGGGGGAAUUCCCGGUGUAGAGGUGAAAUUCGUAGAUAUCGGGAGGAAUACCAGUGGCGAAGGCGCCCCUCUGGACCGAUACUGACGCUGAGACGCGAAAGCGUGGGGAGCAAACAGGAUUAGAUACCCUGGUAGUCCACGCCGUAAACGAUGAGCACUAGGUGUAGCGGGUAUUGACCCCUGCUGUGCCGUAGCUAACGCAUUAAGUGCUCCGCCUGGGGACUACGGUCGCAAGACUA